rnacentral:rRNA from 1 species
AUUGAACGCUGGCGGCAUGCCUUACACAUGCAAGUCGAACGGCAGCACGGAGCUUGCUCUGGUGGCGAGUGGCGAACGGGUGAGUAAUAUAUCGGAACGUACCCUGGAGUGGGGGAUAACGUAGCGAAAGUUACGCUAAUACCGCAUACGAUCUAAGGAUGAAAGUGGGGGAUCGCAAGACCUCAUGCUCGUGGAGCGGCCGAUAUCUGAUUAGCUAGUUGGUAGGGUAAAAGCCUACCAAGGCAUCGAUCAGUAGCUGGUCUGAGAGGACGACCAGCCACACUGGAACUGAGACACGGUCCAGACUCCUACGGGAGGCAGCAGUGGGGAAUUUUGGACAAUGGGCGAAAGCCUGAUCCAGCAAUGCCGCGUGAGUGAAGAAGGCCUUCGGGUUGUAAAGCUCUUUUGUCAGGGAAGAAACGGUGAGAGCUAAUAUCUCUUGCUAAUGACGGUACCUGAAGAAUAAGCACCGGCUAACUACGUGCCAGCAGCCGCGGUAAUACGUAGGGUGCAAGCGUUAAUCGGAAUUACUGGGCGUAAAGCGCGCGUAGGUGGUUAGUUAAGUUGGAUGUGAAAUCCCCGGGCUCAACCUGGGAACUGCAUUGGAGACUGCAAGGCUAGAAUCUGGCAGAGGGGGGUAGAAUUCCACGU